UCCCUGGUGGCUCAGAUGGUAAAGCGUCUGCCUGCAAUGCAGGAGACCUGGGUUGGAUUCCUGGGUGGGGAA
rnacentral:tRNA from 1 species